rnacentral:tRNA from 1 species
GCUACUAUAGCAUAAGAAGUGCGUUUGUUUUAAGCGCAAAAGAUAUUGUGUAGCU